rnacentral:RNase_P_RNA from 16 species
GGAGUGGAUCAGAUGAUCGCCGGCCUGCAGCAAGCAGACGGGAGGAAAGUCCGAGCUCCAGAGGGCAGGAUGGUCGCUAAUGACGACUGGAGGCGACUCUAAGGAAAGUGCCACAGAAAAUAUACCGCCCGACUCCGUUGGGUAAGGGUGAAAAGGCGAGGUAAGAGCUCACCGUUUUCCGGGUGACCGGAAAAGCAUGGUAAACCCCAUCCGGAGCAAGACCAAAUAGGAGAACAUUUGAGAGUGGCCCGCUCGACGUUCUCGGGUAGCGUCGCUUGAGGCAGCAGGCAACUGCUGUCCUAGAGGAAUGAUCAUCGCCAUACUCCGGGAGAUUGGAAUAUGGAACAGAACUCGGCUUAUGAUCUGCUCCGACU